rnacentral:rRNA from 1 species
AGAUGGCGACCGGCGCACGGGUGAGUAACACGUAUCCAACCUGCCGAUAACUCGGGGAUAGCCUUUCGAAAGAAAGAUUAAUACCCGAUGGUAUAAUCAGACCGCAUGGUUUGAUUAUUAAAGAAUUUCGGUUAUCGAUGGGGAUGCGUUCCAUUAGGCAGUUGGGGAGGUAACGGCUCACCAAACCUUCGAUGGAUAGGGGUUCUGAGAGGAAGGUCCCCCACAUUGGAACUGAGACACGGUCCAA